GACGAACGCUGGCGGCGUGCUUAACACAUGCAAGUCGAACGGUGAAAGCGGAGCUUGCUCCGCUGGAUCAGUGGCGAACGGGUGAGUAACACGUGGGCAACCUGCCCCUGACUUCGGGAUAACUCCUCGAAAGAGGUGCUAAUACCGGAUACGAAUCCUGCAGGCAUCUGCGGGAUUGGAAAGUUUUUCGGUCAGGGAUGGGCCCGCGGCCUAUCAGCUUGUUGGUGAGGUAGUGGCUCACCAAGGCGACGACGGGUAGCCGGCCUGAGAGGGCGACCGGCCACACUGGGACUAAGACACGGACCAGACUCCUACGGGAGGCAGCAGGAGGGAAUAUGGCGCAAUGGGCGAGAGCCUGACGCAGCAACGCCGCGUGAGGGAUGACGGCCUUCGGGUUGUAAACCUCUUUCAGCAGGGAAGAAGCGAAAGUGACGGUACCUGCAGAAGAAGCACCGGCUAACUACGUGCCAGCCGCCGCCGUAA
rnacentral:rRNA from 1 species